rnacentral:rRNA from 1 species
GAUCCUGGCUCAGGAUGAACGCUGGCGGCGUGCUUAACACAUGCAAGUCGAACGGGAAUUACUUUAUUGAAACUUCGGUCGAUUUAAUUUAAUUUCUAGUGGCGGACGGGUGAGUAACGCGUGGGUAACCUGCCUUAUACAGGGGGAUAACAGUCAGAAAUGACUGCUAAUACCGCAUAAGCGCACAGGACCGCAUGGUCUGGUGUGAAAAACUCCGGUGGUAUAAGAUGGACCCGCGUUGGAUUAGCUAAUUGGUGGGG